rnacentral:rRNA from 1 species
CGGGGGGCAGCAGUGGGGAAUCUUGCGCAAUGGGCGAAAGCCUGACGCAGCAACGCCGCGUGCGGGAUGAAGGCCUUAGGGUUGUAAACCGCUUUCAGCAGGGAAGAAAAUGACUGUACCUGCAGAAGAAGGUGCGGCCAACUACGUGCCAGCAGCCGCGGUGACACGUAGGCACCAAGCGUUGUCCGGAUUUAUUGGGCGUAAAGAGCUCGUAGGCGGUUCAGUUAGUUGGGUGUGAAAACUCCGGGCUUAACCCGGAGCCGCCACCCAAUACUGCUGUGACUAGAGUUCGGUAGGGGAGCGGGGAAUUCCUAGUGUAGCGGUGAAAUGCGCAGAUAUUAGGAGGAACACCGGUGGCGAAGGCGCCGCUCUGGGCCGAAACUGACGCUGAGGAGCGAAAGCAUGGGUAGCAAACAGGAUUAGAUACCCGAGU